rnacentral:rRNA from 1 species
AUCUAUGGCCAUACUGCCCAAGAAGCACCCGAUCUCCUCUGAUCUUGGAAGCUAAGCAGGGUCGGGCCUGGUAGGAAUUGGAUGGGAGAGAUAUAUGAGGAAAAAUACUGAUCCUGGCUGCUUUUGAUU